rnacentral:rRNA from 1 species
UUAAAGAGUGCGUAACAGCUCACUAGUCGAGCGAUCGGGCGUGGAUAAUAAUCGGGCAUUAAGCAUACUGCCGAAGCAAUAGCAUCGAAAGAUGGGUAGGGGAGCAUUCUAGUUGCGCUGAAGGUGAACUGUGAGGUUUGCUGGAGCGGCUAGAAAAGAAAAUGUAGGAAUAAGUAACGAUAAAGCAGGCGAGAAACCUGCUCACCGAUAGACUAAGGUUUCCUGAACAACGCUAAUCGGUUCAGGGUUAGUCGGGACCUAAGGCGAACCCGAACGGGGUAGUCGAUGGACAACGGGUUAAUAUUCCCGUACCAUCUAUUAUUGAUACCGAGGGACGGAGAAGGCUAAACCAUCCGGAUGUUGGUUACCGGUUUAAGCGUUAAAGGUGUUGAGAGACGGUGAAAACGUCUUGAGCUAAGGCGCGAAUACGAAGUACUAAGGUACUGAAGUGGUUGAUGUCAUACUUCCAAGAAAAGCUCGAAAUAUCAUAAAUAAUAGAUGCCUGUACCCGAAACCGACACAGG